GCCUUGUAUUAAGAGGCCUACUGCACUCUUUUACUUAAUGAAAAAAGAUUUCACAGAACAUCAAAGCCAGACCUUUACAAAAGUACCUGGUGCCAUUUCACAUUACUCCAAUACUAUAUCUAUGAAGUCAUUCAGGUCAUCAAUAAAGAUCUGACCUAAUGAAUAACAACAAAUAACUCAACAAUUUUUUUACAGUUUUCAGCCAUAAAUACAGAUAAGUGUAAAACGGUUUAACCAACACACACAAAUUCAUGUAAGUGUGAAUUCAACACACAUACUUCAUGUUAGUGUGAAGCUAACACACAUAAAUACAUGUAAGUGUGAAGCCAACACACAUAAAUUCAUGUAAGUGUGUAGUCAACACACAUAAUUACUUUUAAGUGUGAAGCCAACAUACAUAAAUACAUGUAAGUGUGAAGC
rnacentral:lncRNA from 1 species